rnacentral:miRNA from 4 species
AACACCCGAGUGAGCGGCUGAGGA